rnacentral:rRNA from 1 species
CCCCUAGACGUUCUGGGCUGCACGCGCGCUACAAUAAUACGCACAGCGAGUAUCACCGAGCUCGAAAGGGCAAGGUAAACAAUAGAAAAGGUACUGUAAUGGUUAUAGAUCCUUGUAAUUAUUGAUCUUCAACGAGGAAUUCCUAGUAAGUAUGUGUCAUCAUCUCGCACUGAUUACGUCCCUGCCCUUUGUACACACCGCCCGUCGCCCCUACCGAUUGGGUGAGCCGAUGAAACUCUCGGAUGUAGGCUAUUCAUAGCCCGCAGAAGAGAUUUGAAUCGUAGCGCUUAGAGGAAGGAGAAGUCGUAACA